rnacentral:rRNA from 1 species
GAGUUUGAUCCUGGCUCAGAUUGAACGCUGGCGGCAUGCCUUACACAUGCAAGUCGAACGGUAACAGGUCUUUCGGGAUGCUGACGAGUGGCGAACGGGUGAGUGAUACAUCGGAACGUGCCUAGUAGUGGGGGAUAACUACUCGAAAGAGUGGCUAAUACCGCAUGAGAUCUAUGGAUGAAGGCAGGGGACCUUCGGGCCUUGUGCUACUAGAGCGGCCGAUGGCAGAUUAGGUAGUUGGUGGGAUAAAAGCUUACCAAGCCUACGAUCUGUAGCUGGUCUGAGAGGACGAUCAGCCACACUGGGACUGAGACACGGCCCAGACUCCUACGGGAGGCAGCAGUGGGGAAUUUUGGACAAUGGGCGGCAAGCCUGAUCCAGCAAUGCCGCGUGCAGGAUGAAGGCC